rnacentral:snRNA from 1 species
GGAUGUGAGGGUGAUCUGGCUGGAAAGCCUAUCACCCCAUUGAUCCCCGGGGUUGAUUCGCCUGAUCUUGCUGGCUAGGCGGAUGUCCCCCUUGUCCCUCAAUGCACCAUGUGCUUCUUUCCUGAAAUUGCACACUCCAUUAAAGUGGAAGACCACCCCUGAAAGGGGAGGAUGGUUUCUUGGUCAAGGGUAUACAAAUAGCUAUGCUCCACUCCUAGGAUCUCCAGAAAAGCUCUCCGGGGUCAUCUUCUAUAAAUGCCUUUAGAAAAUGUUACUACUCUGCUAGAAGCACAUUAAUAGCUGAAAGUUCCCAAUACAAUUAGCAACUAU